rnacentral:rRNA from 1 species
ACGCGUGGAACCUUACCAGGUCUUGACAUCCUCUGACAACCCUAGAGAUAGGGCGUUCCCCUUCGGGGGACAGAGUGACAGGUGGUGCAUGGUUGUCGUCAGCUCGUGUCGUGAGAUGUUGGGUUAAGUCCCGCAACGAGCGCAACCCUUGAUCUUAGUUGCCAGCAUUUAGUUGGGCACUCUAAGGUGACUGCCGGUGACAAACCGGAGGAAGGUGGGGAUGACGUCAAAUCAUCAUGCCCCUUAUGACCUGGGCUACACACGUGCUACAAUGGACGGUACAAACGGUUGCCAACCCGCGAGGGGGAGCUAAUCCGAUAAAACCGUUCUCAGUUCGGAUUGUAGGCUGCAACUCGCCUACAUGAAGCCGGAAUCGCUAGUAAUCGCGGAUCAGCAUGCCGCGGUGAAUACGUUCCCGGGCCUUGCACACACCGCCCGU